GUUUUUCAAAUACUGGGAUUAGACCCCACUAUGCCUAGCCGUAAACAAUUAAAUUACACCCACACCGCCAGGGAAUUACGAGCAAUGCUUAAAACCCAAAGGAUUUGACGGUGUCCCACCCCGCUAGAGGAGCCUGUUCUAUAAUCGAUGAUCCCCGCUUCACCUAACCAUUCCUCGCCCAUCAGUCUGUAUACCUCCGUCGAAAGCUUACCCUGUGAACGUCCGCAGUAGGCUCAAUGAUUCCCCAUCAGUACGUCAGGUCAAGGUGCAGCUUAAGGAAUGGCAAGCAAUGGGCUACAAUUUUUAAUUUAGAACAAACGAAAGACUAUGUGAAACCCUAGUCAUGAAGGUGGAUUUAGUAGUAAAAAGAAACUAGAGUGUCUUUAAGCCGCUCUGC
rnacentral:rRNA from 1 species